UGUAAACGCAAACAACUACAAGAUAAAAUUAAAGGGUCCUCAGUCUUUGAAACUAGUCGUGCCACAUCGCCGCUUCACUAGUGAUUAACAGAGUUAUAGACUUCACUAUUUUGUAAAGAAUGAAGACCGCCAUCUUUAUCGUGGUAUUUUCUGUACUUCUGGCUUCUGUCUUGGCUGAGGUAUCUGCUGAUGACCAAGCCACCGCUGCUGAAAAACGAGGAUACUGUGGCUGUUCUUGYAGCAACAUCAACGGGAUUUGUAACUGUGUACAGACCGGCGGGAAUGGUAAACGAAGUAUUCUGAGGUUCAGACCAUCAAAGCGUGGUUGGUGUGGCUGUAGUUGUUCUAGUAUCAAUGGUGCUUGCAGCUGUACUGGAGUUUGAUUUCAAUGUCAUGGAAAUAUUKAAUGAAGCUGUCAAAUAAUAAAGUCUAGUGAAAAAGUAUC